rnacentral:rRNA from 1 species
GACGAACGCUGGCGGCGUGCCUAAUACAUGCAAGUCGAGCGCAGGAAGCUGACGGAACUCUUCGGAGGGAAGGCAGUGGAAUGAGCGGCGGACGGGUGAGUAACACGUAAGGAACCUGCCUCAAGGAUUGGGAUAACUCCGAGAAAUCGGAGCUAAUACCGGAUAGUUCAACGGACCGCAUGGUCCGCUGAUGAAAGGCGCUUCGGCGUCACCUUGAGAUGGCCUUGCGGUGCAUUAGCUAGUUGGUGGGGUAACGGCCCACCAAGGCGACGAUGCAUAGCCGACCUGAGAGGGUGAUCGGCCACACUGGGACUGAGACACGGCCCAGACUCCUACGGGAGGCAGCAGUAGGGAAUCUUCCACAAUGGACGAAAGUCUGAUGGAGCAACGCCGCGUGAGUGAUGAAGGUUUUCGGAUCGUAAAACUCUGUUGUAAGGGAAGAACACGUACGAGAGGAAAUGCUCGUACCUUGACGGUACCUUACGAGAAAGCCACGGCUAACUACGUGCCAGCCGCCGCAGUAAGAC